rnacentral:rRNA from 1 species
AUUCCUACGGGAGGCAGCAGUGGGGAAUCAUGGUCAAUGGGCGAAAGCCUGAACCUGCGACGCCGCGUGAGUGAUGAAGGUCGUAAGAUCGUAAAACUCUUUUCAGGGAUAUUAAAGGCAGCGCUCUAACAGAGCGUCUGCUGUGACUCUCCCUGGAAUAAGCCCCAGCCAACUACGUGCCAGCAGCUGCGGUAAUACGUAGGGGGCGAACGUUAUUCGGAAUUACUGGGUGUAAAGGGUAUGUAGGCGGCCUGUCAAGUCGCGUGUCAAAGUCCAGCGCUUAACGCUGGGUCCGCACGUGAUACUGUCAGGCUUGAGGGCUGGAGAGGUGAGCGGAAUUCCCGGUGUAGUGGUAAAAUACGUAGAUAUCGGGAGGAACACCAGCGGCGUAGGCGGCUCACUAGACAGUUUCUGACGCUAAGAUACGGAAGCGUGGGGAGCAAACAGGAUUAGAUACCCUGGUAGUCCACGCCCUAAACGAUGGAUACUUGGUGUUGGGGGGGUUACCUUCAGUGCCGGAGCUAACGCGUUAAGUAUCCCACCUGGGGACUACGGCCGCAAAGCUAAAACUCAAAGGAAUUGACGGGGGCCCGCACAAGCGGUGGAGCAUGUGGUUUAAUUCGACGCAACGCGAAGAACCUUACCGGGACUUGACAUUAUCUUGUCAGUCUAAGAAAUUAGAUCUUCUUCCUUUCGGGGAAGACAGGAUAACAGGUGGUGCAUGGUUGUCGUCAGCUCGUGUCGUGAGAUGUUGGGUUAAGUCCCACAACGAGCGCAACCCUUAUGCUUAGUUGCUAACUUGUUUUACAAGUGCACUCUAAGCAGACUGCCGCAGAUAAUGCGGAGGAAGGUGGGGAUGACGUCAAAUCAUCAUGCCCCUUACGUCCCGGGCUACACACGUGCUACAAUGGCCUGUACAAAGGGUAGCGAAAGAGCGAUCUUAAGCCAAUCCCAAAAAGCAGGUCCCAGUUCGGAUUGGAGGCUGCAACUCGCCUCUAUGAAGUAGGAAUCGCUAGUAAUCGCGGAUCAGCACGCCGCGGUGAAUACGUUCCCGGGCCUUGUACACACCGCC